CCAAUAGCGUAUAUUAAAGUUGUUGCAGUUAAAAAGCUCGUAGUUGAACUUCGGGAUCAAUGGAUUGGUCAUGCCGAUGGUGUGUACUGGUCAUAUUGGUUCUCACCUUCUAAGGAACCAUAAUGUCAUUUAUUUGAUGUUGUGGGGAAUUAGGACUGUUACCUUGAAAAAAUUAGAGUGUUUAAAGCAGGCUAACGCUUGAAUACAUUAGCAUGGAAUAAUGAAAUAGGACAUCGCAUUCUAUUUUGUUGGUUUCUAGGAUCGAUGUAAUGAUUAAUAGGGGUAGUUGGGGGCAUUAGUAUUCAAUUGUCAGAGGUGAAAUUCUUGGAUUUAUUGAAGACUAACUACUGCGAAAGCAUUUGCCAAGGAUGUUUUCAUUAAUCAAGAACGAAGGUUAGGGGAUCGAAGACGAUCAGAUACCGUCGUAGUCUUAACCAUAAACUAUGCCGACUAGGGAUCGGAUGAUGUUGAUUUUUUAAUGACUCAUUCGGCACCUUACG
rnacentral:rRNA from 1 species